CAUUCUCUUCAUCCUUGUUCCUCCCAUCACCAUGGCUGCUGCUGCUGCUGUUCUGCCCAUUUCAGCCACCCAUUCAGCCCGUUCGUCUCGUCUUUCUUAGGACGAUGCCGUCCCUGACGAGGUGACGAUGCCCGGCCCGACGGGGUGACAAUGCCUGACGAGGUUAGAAGACCGUUGGCCUGAUGCGUUUUACGCGGGCGCGGUAGUGGUGGAAGAGUUGAGAAGGAGCGGGAAUUGACUUGAGGUGCGAAGUUUGAGAAAGUGAUGCAUGGUGUGAGUAGUGUGCGAGUGUGUUUGUAUCACGUGAUGUGAUGCUUAAUUAUGGGGUAGAAACUGCUAGGCACGGUAUGGGACGUGCCCAAGUGGUUUCUAUCUUAUAAUUAAGGCACGCGCGCGUCUGUGAUGUAUUACUGUGAGGUGCUGGCUGUAUUAUGAUCUAACGUGCAGGAAUGUGCAUGAUGGAUUCCAGGUAGGGGCGUGUGUGGUUGGUAGUUUGAUUGAUUGUCGUAUGUUAUGCGUGUUUUCGUCUGGCGGUACGUGAGUGUCUACGUGGGGUUUGGGGUUGUACACUUAUUGAGAUUCGUCUCAUAGUUGUAUAAUCCACAAUUUCAGACCCCCAGCCGUAAACCCAGGGAACCGCCUCCUCUUUUUGAAGUGCGAAGAGUCGCUUUUGGUGCCCGGUGAAACUACAGGUGAGUGUCCGGAGGCUCAAGCC